rnacentral:rRNA from 1 species
AUUGAACGCUGGCGGCAGGCCUAACACAUGCAAGUCGAACGAGUGGCGGACGGGUGAGUAAUGUCUGGGAAACUGCCUGAUGGAGGGGGAUAACUACUGGAAACGGUAGCUAAUACCGCAUACCAUCAGAUGUGCCCAGAUGGGAUUAGCUUGUUGGUGGGGUAACGGAGAACCAAGGCGACGAUCCCUAGCUGGUCUGAGAGGAUGACCAGCCAAACUGGAACUGAGACACGGUCCAGAUGCCUACGGGAGGCAGCGGUGGGGAAUAUUGCACAAUGGGCGGAAGCCUGAUGCAGCCAUGCCGCGUGUAUUAAUAAGGCCUUCGGGUUGUAAAGUACGUUCAGCGGGGAGGCGUUACCCGCAGAAGAAGUACCGGCUAACUGCGUGCCAGCAGCCGCGGUAAUAC